UGUCCGUUGUGGCAUGCUGGCGCGCGGCGCAGCCAACCGAGGAAUCCGGUGCGAAUCCGGAGCGGUCCCGCCACUGUGAAGGCCCCUAGGGGCCAAGCCAGGACAUCGGUCUGCGUUCGUCGGAGCGA
rnacentral:ncRNA from 2 species